GCCAGCCCGCUCAAGAAACUCAAAGGAAUUGACGGGGCCCGCACAAGCGGUGGAGUAUGUGGUUUAAUUCGAUGCAACGCGAAGAACCUUACCUGGUCUUGACAUCCCGGAGACCCUUAGGAAACUAGGGGGUGCUUCCAUCUGGAAGAAUCUGGAGACAGGUGCUGCAUGGCUGUCGUCAGCUCGUGUCGUGAGAUGUUGGGUUAAGUCCCGCAACGAGCGCAACCCUUGCCUUUAGUUGCCAGCAGUUCGGCUGGGCACUCUAAAGGGACUGCCGGUGUUAAACCGGAGGAAGGUGGGGAUGACGUCAAGUCCUCAUGGCCUUUAUGACCAGGGCUACACACGUACUACAAUGGCCGAUACAAAGGGCAGCGACACUGCGAGGUGAAGCCAAUCCCGUAAAAUCGGUCUCAGUCCGGAUUGGAGUCUGCAACUCGACUCCAUGAAGUUGGAAUCGCUAGUAAUCGUGGAUCAGCAUGCCACGGUGAAUACGUUCCCGGGCCUU
rnacentral:rRNA from 1 species